rnacentral:rRNA from 1 species
AUUGAACGCUGGCGGAAUGCUUUACACAUGCAAGUCGAACGGCAGCACGGGGGCAACCCUGGUGGCGAGUGGCGAACGGGUGAGUAAUACAUCGGAACGUGCCCAGCCGUGGGGGAUAACGUAGCGAAAGCUACGCUAAUACCGCAUACGAUCUACGGAUGAAAGCGGGGGAUCGCAAGACCUCGCGCGAUUGGAGCGGCCGAUAUCAGAUUAGGUUGUUGGUGUGGUAAAAGCUCACCAAGCCUGCGAUCUGUAGCUGGUCUGAGAGGACGACUAGCCACACUGGAACUGAGACACGGUCCAGACUCCUACGGGAGGCAGCAGUGGGGAAUUUUGGACAAUGGACGCAAGUCUGAUCCAGCAAUGCCGCGUGCAGGACGAAGGCCUUCGGGUUGUAAACUGCUUUUGUACGGAACGAAACGGUGAGCUCUAAUACAGUUUGCUAAUGACGGUACCGUAAGAAUAAGCACCGGCUAACUACGUGCCAGCCGCCGCCGUAA